rnacentral:rRNA from 1 species
UUUUAUGAGAGUUCGAUCCUGGCUCAGGACGAACGCUGGCGGCGUGCCUAAUACAUGCAAGUCGAACGCUUCUUUUUCCACCGGAGCUUGCUCCACCGGAAAAAGAGGAGUGGCGAACGGGUGAGUAACACGUGGGUAACCUGCCCAUCAGAAGGGGAUAACACUUGGAAACAGGUGCUAAUACCGUAUAACAAUC